CCUACGGGUGGCAGCAGUGAGGAAUAUUGGUCAAUGGGCGAGAGCCUGAACCAGCCAAGUCGCGUGAAGGAUGACGGCCCUACGGGUUGUAAACUUCUUUUGUCAGGGAGCAAUUGGGUCCACGCGUGGGCUUAGCGAGAGUACCUGAAGGAAAAGCAUCGGCUAACUCCGUGCCAGCAGCCGCGGUAAUACGGAGGAUGCGAGCGUUAUCCGGAUUUAUUGGGUUAAAGGGGUGCGUAGGCGGAAUAUCAAGUCAGCGGUAAAACUUCGGGGCUCAACCCCGUCCUGCCGUUGAAACUGAGGUUCUUGAGUGGGCGAGAGGGAUGCGGAAUGCGUGGUGUAGCGGUGAAAUGCAUAGAUAUCACGCAGAACUCCGAUUGCGAAGGCAGCCUGCCGGAGCCCAACUGACGCUGAAGCGCGAAAGCGUGGGUAUCGAACAGGAUUAGAUACCCGAGUAGUC
rnacentral:rRNA from 1 species